rnacentral:rRNA from 1 species
GACGAACGCUGGCGGCGUGCCUAAUACGUGCAAGUCGAGCGGACAGAAGGGAGCUUGCUCCCGGAAGUUAGCGGCGGACGGGUGAGUAACACGUGGGCAACCUACCCUGUAGAUCGGGAUAACAUCGAGAAAUCGGCGCUAAUACCGGAUAAUCAUUUGAAGUGCAUGCUUCGAAUGUAAAAGAUGGCUCCGGCUAUCACUACGGGAUGGGCCCGCGGCGCAUUAGCUAGUUGGUAAGGUAAUGGCUUACCAAGGCAACGAUGCGUAGCCGACCUGAGAGGGUGAUCGGCCACACUGGGACUGAGACACGGCCCAGACUCCUACGGGAGGCAGCAGUAGGGAAUCUUCCGCAAUGGACGAAAGUCUGACGGAGCAACGCCGCGUGAGUGAUGAAGGUUUUCGGGUCGUAAAGCUCUGUUGUUAGGGAAGAACAAGUGCCGUUUGAAUAAGGCGGCACCUUGACGGUACCUAACCAGAAAGCCACGGCUAACUACGUGCCAGCCGCCGCAGUAAUAC